rnacentral:rRNA from 1 species
UGACGGUACCUGACUAAGAAGCACCGGCUAAAUACGUGCCAGCAGCCGCGGUAAUACGUAUGGUGCAAGCGUUAUCCGGAUUUACUGGGUGUAAAGGGUGCGUAGGUGGCAUGGCAAGUCAGAAGUGAAAGGCUGGGGCUCAACCCCGGGACUGCUUUUGAAACUGUCAAGCUAGAGUACAGGAGAGGAAAGCGGAAUUCCUAGUGUAGCGGUGAAAUGCGUAGAUAUUAGGAGGAACACCAGUGGCGAAGGCGGCUUUCUGGACUGAAACUGACACUGAGGCACGAAAGCGUGGGGAGCAAACAGGAUUAGAUACCCUG